AUUUUUAAAAAAAUAGGGAACUCAGUGCAUGAAGGUUUAACCAGCCUUGCUGAGACCGGUUUGAAUGUAGAGUUUUUAUUAUAUUGGAUACUGUAUAAUAAAAACUUCCUAUUGAUAGCGAUUGAGAUAGGAUAGAAACAGAUGUUUCAAAUACAAGAACCAGGUGCCGAUUUAUAUGAGCAAAAAGUAGACCUAACAAGUCGGAGGGAUAAUUGAGUAAGUUGGCAGUAAUAUGUUGGCUAAUGCGGCUUUUAAGUUCUAUAUAGGGAUAUGUAGAUUACUAAAAGUAAAUCCAAAACAACCUCUUGCCGAUGAUGCUAAGAAAUUAGCGUAUAAGACAAAUCAAGGUCGUACAAGUACCACAAAAGGCGAAAACUUUAAGGUAUUACAAAUAAUUGCUGUAACAAAGGUGAUUACUUCUGUAACGAACUUAAAGCAAGUAUAAUAAAUAUCCUGAAUGGUAUGUGGGAAAGUUAGAGGUAGCAAUCCUCUCAGAGCAUCGUGCAGUUUAACGGUUAGGGGCGACUUAUAGUUUAACUACAAGUGGCAACAGACGGUUUAACUGCUAGGGUAUACAGGUUAGGAUGACGGUCCGAAACCUCAGGUAUAUUUUCUCUGUUACAGAAUAUUGCGUAGUAUAAAGUAAGUACGACGAAGGUCGCCCUAUUAUGUUUUUUUAUA
rnacentral:sRNA from 12 species